GACGAACGCUGGCGGCGUGCUUAACACAUGCAAGUCGAACGGAAAGGCCCUGCUUUUGUGGGGUGCUCGAGUGGCGAACGGGUGAGUAACACGUGAGAAACCUGCCCUUGACUUUGGGAUAACUUCAGGAAACUGGGGCUAAUACCGGAUAGGAGCUCCUGCUGCAUGGGGGGGGUUGGAAAGUUUCGGCGGUUGGGGAUGGACUAGCGGCUUAUCAGCUUGUUGGUGGGGUCGUGGCUUACCAAGGCUUUGACGGUUAGCCGGCCUGAGAGGGUGACCGGCCACAUUGGGACUGAGAUACGGCCCAGACUCCUACGGGAGGCAGCAGUGGGGAAUAUUGCACAAUGGGCGGAAGCCUGAUGCAGCAACGCAGCGUGCGGGAUAACGGCCUUCGGGUUGUAAACCGCUUUCGCCUGUGACGAAGCGUGAGUGACGGUAAUGGGUAAAGAAGCACCGGCUAACUACGUG
rnacentral:rRNA from 1 species